rnacentral:rRNA from 1 species
CAAUAGCGUAUAUUUAAGUUGCUGCAGUUAAAAAGCUCGUAGUUGGACUUCUGUUGAGAGAUACCGGUCCAUGCAACGCAUGCGUAUUUGGUAAGUCUCGGCAUCCUCUCGAAAAACUUCUUUGCGCUUGAUUGCGUGAAAAGAGUUUCGGGACUUUUACUUUGAGGAAAUUAGAGUGUUCACGGCAGGCCAUCGCCAGGAUACAUUAGCAUGGAAUAAUACUAUAGGAUCUUGAUCCUAUUUUGUUGGUUUCUAGGAUUAAGAUAAUGAUUAAUAGGGACAAUUGGGGGCAUUCGUAUCAACACGUCAGAGGUGAAAUUCUUGGAUUGUGUUGCGACGAACUACUGCGAAAGCAUUUGCCAAGGAUGUUUUCAUUGA